rnacentral:rRNA from 1 species
GUGAGGAAUUUUGCACAAUGGGGGCAACCCUGACGCAGCGACGCCGCGUGGAGGACGAAGUCUUUCGGGAUGUAAACUCCUGUCAGUGGGGACGAUAAUGACGGUACCCACAGAGGAAGCACCGGCUAACUCCGUGCCAGCAGCCGCGGUAAGACGGAGGGUGCAAGCGUUGUUCGGAAUUACUGGGCGUAAAGCGUAUGUAGGCGGCAAGUUAAGUUCAAUGUUAAAGCCCACGGCUCAACCGAGGAGAUGCAUUGAAUACUGGCUAGCUAGAGGGUGUUAGAGGAAGACGGAAUUCCCAGUGUAGCGGUGAAAUGCGUAGAUAUUGGGAGGAACAUCGGUAGCGAAAGCGGUCUUCUGGGACAUACCUGACGCUGAGGUACGAAAGCGUGGGGAGCAAACGGGAUUAGAAACCCUUGUAGUCC